GAUUUUUUUUUUUGCUUUAAACUAUGAAUACUAAAUGUAGUAAGCCUUCAAGAUGCUACAACUGGAAGCACUGUGAAUUCAGCUUCUCAGACACCUUCUAUCACAAUGUACUGUUCCCCUCCAAAGUGACUGUCUUAAUCCGUUUCACAUUUCUACAGGGAAACUUCUGAGGAAACUACUUUCUAAAGGAAACAUUUUGGCCCAUAGUUUUAAAAGUCAGUGUCAAGGGAAUGCAUUUGGCGAAGGCCUUCUUACUGGCCAAGUCCUCAGGUUAUUCCGGGAAUCCCAUGGCAAACACCAAGGAGCACCUUGCAUAUGUGCCCAGGAGUUAUCAAAGUUGAACAAGGAGAUGGGAAGAGAAGGGGAUGCGAUUCUGCUGCCGGGAAAGAGGAGGCUGUGAGGGGAGGUAUGCAUGAUGGGAGACCACAACUGACAAGCACAGGUUGGUAAUAGAUCUUCAGCUGACAAAGGAAAGGGAAAGGGUUAGCAAGUUUCUGAAGCGAUCUACUACCCCAUUUUCUGUAUUUUUCACAACUACUCAAAGAACUGUCUGAUACGACAUUGGGGAUACAAUGUUGAGUAUCGCUCCAUUCUAAAGAAAUGGCUCAAUAAAACAAUUGUUUUUGCUUAGGAAAUUAUGAUUUUUAAAAGUAGCCUGAAUUCAUUUAUUCACCCAAGGCGGAAG
rnacentral:lncRNA from 1 species